AGCAUCAUGCCCGAUCCUUAUUUCUUAAAACAGUAAGAAGGAACCCUGACAACCAGACUCUGGAACACAGCCCAGGUCCCAACAGUGCUUGCUGCAACAGGUUCCCAUGAUUUGCGACACGUGCUCGGGAUGGAUGACGGCGGGGUUUGCAAGCACUGCUGUAAAGGAUGCUGAAGUGAGGAGCGCAUGGGCAGAGUGAGCAGAAGAAACAUGCGAACCGACAAGUUGGGGCCAGACAGAGGUGAGGAAGACACAGCUAGGAAACCACAGCAGCACCGGUAGCGGCGGCGGCGGCGGCGGCGGCAGACUAACCUGUUGGAGGCUAUUUAUUGUUAAGAGGGUUUGGCAGAACUUGCAGGGCUAGAGGAGGGAUUUCAGAGGUGGAACCAGGAACACUGGAGGUCACAGUGACCUGCUCGGUGAAGACAGUCUGAGGCUGUUUCUGCACAGCCCAGCAACCGAGAAGUCAGCCCUGCUCAACAACUUUGAAACACUCACCCAGCCGACCUGAUGUGUUUGGGUGCUCACUGCCGGUGAGUAGAUAUAAGGACCCCCAGAGGAAUCUCUGAGAUUGCUUCGGUGCAUUUGUAACCCAGCAGCUAUGAGGAACCCAUAGAGCCUUCUGAGACAGCGUUGUGCAGAUUCUUCGCUCAUGAACAAUUUAUUUCAUAGGACACCCGUUUUGGAGAAGCUAAUGACUCAGAGCACUCCCAAGAAAAAGAAAAUGGAAAGAAGCCAAAAGGUGAGAAAAGACUGUGAAAAUGAAAGGCCUUUAAAUGGACAAGGUAACAUGGAAAUUAGAGUAGACAUCUCAGGCCUGUCACUCAACUAUUACUAGUAUAAGCAUGUAAUUUAUUGUCUGAAUGAGGACACUUUUGGAACUGAAAGGAGGAACUAUCAAUAAUUACUCCAGGAAAAUAGGUCAAACUGGGUCUCUCUUGGAUGAAUCAAAAUGUAGGGCUGACUUGUCACCCAAGUUGUGUUGGUUCGACCUCCUAAUACUUUCUAACUAUCCACAAUAUAUCCAAAAUAUAUCCCAGGACUUCCCCAGUGGUCCAGUGGUUA